ACCCUAGUGCCGCCCCAAAAUCCUCUCUCUCUCUCACGUCAUGUUUUGCCAGAAACGGCAAAAGAUCCGACGUGGUUUUUGUUUUCUCUAGACUAGUGUGUCCAUUUCGGGUAAAGCAAUUAAUGAUUUACCCUCUCUCCACCAUGUCUCAACCCAAAAGAGUUGGGGCUUGAGGAGCAAGGUCUUCAAUUUCAAUCUCCACUAAGGGCUGCACUAAGAAAAGGUACUCCCAGGUGAGUUGAAGACAGUAUAGAAGAUGUUCCAGUGCAGAUGGCAAGAUCCAUUUGUUCCCGGAGUGCUGCCGAGUCAGAGUUGAUAUUGGGGAGCCCGAGACUUGAGUCGGGAUUUGUUUAGCGAGCAAUCGAGGUACAGCCGUUCGUUCGGGUGACCCGCCAGUGUAGGACACUUAUUCUGCUAUUUGGAGUACCCAUUUGAUCCGGAGCUCAUAUUUUUGGUACAUAUCUGUUGUUACACAUGUUUCUGUAUAUAUGACUAUUUGAGGGUACGGCGGGGCCCUGUCCCAUCAUAUGUUUCUGUUAUGGUUUGUAGAGGCCUGUAGACAUAUAUGUGGGUCAUGCGUCAUGUUUGUGA